AUCGCAGGUGGUAAUUGCAGCUUAACACCACUAGUGGGCAGUCUAGGAUAAUCAUCCGGAGAUACUUUCUGAAAUGAAACAGCACUAUGCCAAUCGCGUAAAGCAAAUGGAUCUUUAAUACGAUCACUAAUAACUACUUAUCCUGAUGUUAUAAAUAGGGCCUACAACCUACAAACUCCUCCACCCAAAUGGCUUAUCGACGAGGAGACUGGUGAAAUCGCAGCUCCAGUAGCUCUUGCGUUCCCUACCUUGUGGAAUCCUUCACCAAAAUAUAUAUAUUGCAGACCAUGCAAAAUAUGCGCUAAUUCACGUCUGAAAGGAAACGUCAGAUUAUGGAAUUACUACCAGCGGCGCGGAUGCGAAUAGCUUUCUCCCCGUGUUUAUCGUUAUAUAAGUUGAAUGAGGUCGAGUGGGGGGCUUUGAGUCCAAAGGCGCCUCGGUUCCGCUGCUGCAUCUGUGUUUAAUCAAGCUCUGGGCCGCGGCCCCACAGUGUUAGGUGACAGAUGACCCGCACAACCAGUGCGCACAAGAUAAUGGAAAAAACUAUAUACCCGGAAGGGUUCAACCAAUGCCAGUGUUUCCUGCCACAGGAGAUGCUUACCAGGGCUGUGUGCUCGAUGACUUGACGAUUUUAUCAGCACAUCUACAGAUUCCCACAUUCAUCAGUUUCCUAGUCCAAACACAAUGGUGAAAAACUGAGUGUAAAGAAAAUAGUUGUUUUGAUUCAUGUGUGGGAGAGCAGAAUUAAAUAAAGCACUACGAACAUCAUAGCUAUCGUUUGCUUUGCUGCCAGCAAAUACCUCGGAUCAGAUCAGCAACUGGCUGUUCCUGUGGUUUUCUAUGAUUUGUGUCACUGGAAAGGCUGAAAUAAGAUGUUUCAUCUAAGAAGAGUUUUCCAUUAAACAAUAAAAAAAGAUGUCUCCUCAUUAUUCUUAAUCCCCUCUUACUCUGUAAAGCUGACGCCGAACAAGUAGUUCUCUGUGUUAUUAAAGUUAGAUGAUGAAUAUAGAGCGCACAUAAGUCCAACUUUUGAGUUGGAACAGUAUUGUCUUCUGAGCAUGGUCUUUCCAUCGCCUGGUGAUUAAUACGCAACAUGAGGAUGACACAAAGAACUACUGUUUGAGUCCUGCCAGACCUACCUGUUCAGCCUCGCGUGUGC
ensembl:lncRNA